rnacentral:rRNA from 1 species
UACGUAGGUGGCAAGCGUUGUCCGGAUUUACUGGGCGUAAAGGGCGCGUAGGCGGUCGUGACAAGUCACUUGUGAAAUCUCCGGGCUUAACUCGGAACGGUCAAGUGAUACUGUCGGACUAGAGUACAGAAGGGGGCAACUGGAAUUCUCGGGUGUAGCGGGUGAAAAUGCGUAGAUAUCGAGAGGGAAACACCUGCGGCGAAAGGCGGGGUUGCUGGGGCUGAUACUG